GUAUUAGAGGAUGUAUUUCUAUUUCCUUUUCUGUCUCUUGAAAGUUGCACUUAAUUCCUUG
rnacentral:sRNA from 1 species